rnacentral:tRNA from 1 species
UGUUUCGUGGUCUAGCGGUUAGAACGCUGGCCUUGUAAUCCUGGGGUCUCGGGUUCGAUUCCCGGCGGUGCCC